rnacentral:lncRNA from 12 species
AUGUCGGCCAUCGUCACUCUAUUAUCCCAAGCGGACGGUGAGCUCAAUGCCCAGAAGCCCGGAGCCAGGGCGGCCGGGAGGACUGGAGCUGCAGUGAGCGGGGCCCGCGGGCCCCACGGGGCCGGAAGCCGCGGAGCCAGCGCCGAGCGCCCCUCGCGGGACCGGGCAGCGGGGAGGAAGGCGGCACCAGACCACGAGCGGCCCACGUCCUCUCGCUUCCCAGUGCCGGAAACUGGGAAAGUCAUAAUUACUAUGACCAUUUUUCUCAUACAUAAAAUGAGAAUAAGAAGCCACAGAGCCAGGAAUGCUAAUUGUGAAGGUCUACACGACGGGCUUCACGCAAAGCCUUUCACGCAGAGUGCGGAGCCCGUGAGAAGGAUCCCGGGCGAGGGCCGCAGCGCCCUCCCGAGGAAAGCACUCACCCAGAGGCAAAACAAUUAAAAUAGGGCAACUCUUCCAUCUGUCAAAAUAACACUGUAAAAGAUGAUGUCACCGAGGGUGCAGCGCCGUGAGCUCGAGGGCUCGCUGCUGGGCUGUAGACUGGCCCCUCCGCUUAGGGGGAGCCUGGCAGGUGGCCGAUGGCCCAGGACAGACGCCCGAACCCGGGGCCGCCUCGGCCUGCUCAGCACGAGGCCCUCAAACACCAGGGCUGGCUGGGACGCUACACGUGGCCGCGGGACUCUGGAAAGCAACGAACGGCCACCGCUGAGACACUUAACCGUAUUAGGUUUGCCAACGUCUAUCAAAUAGUAUAGCAGUUAAAAUGACGUUGCUGGGGUGAGCGAGAGAACAGCAGCAGCCGCAGGAGCGCGGGGCUCCUGGACCUGGGGCACCCACCGUGGGCUUGCACAGCCGCCGAGGCCGGGCAGCCUGGGGCUCAGCCGCCACUGGGCGGCCCGGCCCCACUCGGGCGCCUGCACCGCGGCCUCCGCGGGCUCCCCCCUCGGCCUGGGCCGCGGUCAACACAGCAGCUGCCAGCAGCAGCCACGCGGGACGGGAAAGCCCGUGCCUGCGGCCGUGAGGACCACCCCGGGGGCAACAGUGUCUUCUUCAGGGUGCUACUGCUUCCCUUUGUCCAAGGCCAUUCCGGCUUCCAAGAGUUUGAAAGUAGUUUCUUUCUUUGUAGGAAACUUGAGAAACAGAGGAUGCCAAAAAUACCUCCCACAUGAUCCUAUCACCUGAAACGAGUGUUGCUAACUUUCUGGUUUAUUUGAUUGAAAACCCGAGACUACUACGGAACUCGGUAUCCCAAGGAAGCAGCGUAAGCGACUCAACCACUUCACUCCCGGAGGCCACCGAUAUGAAUUCCAUGUUCAUUACUAUAUAGAAUGUGGGUACUUAUACCACCAGCUAGAACAUCCCACCUGAUUUUUACUUUUUUUUUUUUUAAGAUUUUAUUUUAUUCAUGAGACACAGAGAGAGGCAGAGACACAGGCAGAGGGAGAAGCAGGCUCCAGCGGGGAGCCCGACGCGGCACUCGAUCCCGGGACCCCGGGGUCACACCCCGAGCUGAAGGCAGACGCUCAACCGCUGAGCCACCCAGGGGCACCUCCAGCUGAUUUCUGAUUUAUUUUCUUAAGAUAGUUUCCUGUAUGUGACGACAUUCCUGGGCCAAACUCCCUAAGGCUCUUUUUACAGAUUGUCAAAUGAAUGCACAUUUACACAUUUAUAAUAAGAAAAAAGACCUGCUUAAUAAAGUAUAAAAUGGGAAUCA